rnacentral:rRNA from 1 species
AUUGAACGCUGGCGGCAGGCCUAACACAUGCAAGUCGAACGAGUGGCGGACGGGUGAGUAAUGUCUGGGAAACUGUCUGAUGGAGGGGGAUAACUACUGGAAACGGUAGCUAAUACCGCAUACCAUCAGAUGUGCCCAGAUGGGAUUAGCUAGUUGGUGGGGUAACGGCUCACCAAGGCGACGAUCCCUAGCUGGUCUGAGAGGAUGACCAGCCACACUUGAACGGAGACACGGUCCAGACUCCUACGGCAGGCAGAAGAGGGGAAUAUGGCACAAUGGGCGAAAGCCUGAUGCAGACAUGCCGCGUGUAUGAAGAAGGCCUUCGAGUUGUAAAGUACUUUCAGCGAGGAAGCGUUACCCGCAGAAGAAGCACCAGCGAACUCCGUGCCAGCAGCCGCGGUAAUUC